UAAUCUAAUGAAUGUCUUUUAAUACUAAAUUAGCUAAAAAAUCACGACGAAAAACAAAUACGAAAAAUCAAAAAUUACAUUGAGUUUAGGUUAAGAACGGUUUUGUGUGCCAACCAAAGAUCACGUGAUUUAACUUUGACAGGUCGAUGGAUUCCCUAAUAUUAAUGGUAUGGUAAAUAAUAGUUGUGACAAGAACUAACAUUAUUUAAAUUAGUUGCAACACAUUAGAUUAUGCAUUUUAGGUAAAAAUGCAUUGCCUAAAUAAAAGCAGUGGAAUUUCUUCCAACAGGAUUUUAGAUUGGGGUAGAAUGAAAACACUAAGUAGAUUUGUGUACUAAUAACUGAAGAAAGGAAAAAUGCAAGUGCAUAUUUGAUGAUAACAUACUUUAAAAAGUAUCAAACCAAGUACACUUUUAUGUAUAAUAUUAAUUUUAGGGCUCUUAUUGUACAUUAUAGUCCAAUUAUUAGAUCAGAUUAGUAUAUCCAGUUUCUUCCUUUCACCAUUUUAGUAAAUUUUUUUUGGAAAACAUGAAUUAACUGUAUUUUAACAAAUAAAAUUAGGCUUGGUAUUACUGACCACAUUAUCAUAAUUGAACAUAAUGGGUGAUAAUGGCGUUUAAAACAUUGUCAUGGCAGAAUGUGUCAGUUAAAAUGAUAUUUUUUCAUUUGUAAUUUAGUCUUAUUUUGUGUUUAUGACUAUAUUAAAUAAAUUCCAAAUUUUCA